rnacentral:rRNA from 1 species
AGCGAACGUUAGCGGCGGGCCUAACACAUGCAAGUCGAGCGAGAACGGGGCUUCGGCUCCUAGUAAAGCGGCGGACGGGUGAGUAACACGUAGGUAAUCUUCCCUUGAGCGGGGGACAACGGUCCGAAAGGACCGCUAAUACCGCAUACGUUCUCCGAGACUCCGGCCUUGGAGAGGAAAGCUAGGUAGCAAUAUCCGGCACUCGAGGAGGAGCCUGCGUCGCAUCAGCGAGUUGGUGGGGUAAUGGCCUACCAAGGCGAAGACGCGUAGCUGGUCUGGGAGGAUGAUCAGCCACACGGGGACUGGGACACGGCCCAGGCUCGUACGGGAUGCAGCAGUGGGAAAUAUUGGACAAUGGGCGCAAGCCUGAUCCAGCCACGCCGCGUGAGUGAUGAAGGCCUUCGGGUCGUAAAGCUCUGUGGGGAGGGACGAACCGCUGCAGGUUAAUACCCUGCAGCAUGACGGUACCUCCUUAGCAAGCACCGGCUAACUUCGUGCCAGCAGCCGCGGUAAUAC